UGGGAAUCUUCCGCAAUGGACGAAAGUCUGACGGAGCAACGCCGCGUGUAUGAUGAAGGUCUUCGGAUUGUAAAGUACUGUCAUUGGGGAAGAACGGUUUUCUUGAAAAGAUUGAGAAGACAUGACGGUACCCAAGGAGGAAGCCCCGGCUAACUACGUGCCAGCAGCCGCGGUAAUACGUAGGGGGCAAGCGUUGUCCGGAAAUUAUUGGGCGUAAAGGGCGCGUAGGCGGGCCUUUAAGUCCGGUGUGAAAGAUCAGGGCUCAACCCUGAGAGUGCAUCGGAAACUGGAGGCCUUGAGGACAGGAGAGGAAAGUGGAAUUCCACGUGUAGCGGUGAAAUGCGUAGAUAUGUGGAGGAACACCAGUGGCGAAGGCGACUUUCUGGACUGUAACUGACGCUGAGGCGCGAAAAGCGUGGGGAGCAAACAGGAUUAGAUACCCUGGUAGUCCACGCCGUAAAACGAUGAGUGCUAGGUGUAGAGGGUAUCGA
rnacentral:rRNA from 1 species